CACCCUUCCUCCAGAAGCCCCUCCGAGCACAGUCCUCACUAUGGACCGCAGCUGGGGAAUCUUCUUCCUGCUGGCACUGGCCACAGGUGUGCACUCUGAGGUCCAGCUGGUGCAGUCUGGGGCUGAGGUGAAGAAGCCAGGGGCAUCUGUGAAGGUCUCCUGCAAGACAUCUGGAUACACCUUCACUGACUACUAUAUGCACUGGGUACGACAGGCUCCAGGAGCAGGGCUUGAUUGGAUGGGACGGAUUGAUCCUGAAGAUGGUGCCACAAGGUAUGCACAGAAGUUCCAGGGCAGAGUCACCCUGACAGCAGACACAUCCACAAGCACAGCCUACAUGGAGCUGAGCAGUCUGAGAGCUGAGGACACAGCCGUGUACUACUGUGCGAGACACAGUGUGAGAACCCACAUCCUGGGAGUGUCAGAAACCCCGGUGAGAGCGCAGCUGUGA